rnacentral:piRNA from 1 species
UUGGAUACUGAGUGCUUUCGGAGAU